rnacentral:rRNA from 1 species
UAACACAUGCAAGUCGAACGGUCUACCUCGACAGAAACCUUCGGGUUGAAGACGAGAUUUAGAUAGUGGCGGACGGGUGAGUAACACGUGAAUAAUCUGUCCUCAAGUUUGGGAUAACCUGGCGAAAGUCGGGCUAAUCCGAGGUAAGCUGAGAGUGUGGCAUCACACAAUCAGAAAAGGUGGCUUUGCCAUCGUUUGAGGAGGAGUUCGCGGUAGAUUAGCUAGCUGGUGAGGUAAUGGCUCACCAGGGCAACAAUCUAUAGCUGGUCUGAGAGGACGAUCAGUCACACUGGAACUGAGACACGGUCCAGACUCCUACGGGAGGCAGCAGUGGGGAAUCUUCCACAAUGGGCGCAAGCCUGAUGGAGCAACGC